rnacentral:rRNA from 1 species
AGAACGAACGCUGGCGGCAGGCCUCAAACAUGCAAGUCUAGGGGGUGUAGCAAUACAUCACCGGCGGACGGGUGCGUAACACGUGGGAAUAUACCUUUUGGUUCGGAACAACGCAGGGAAACUUGCGCUAAUACCGAAUGUGCCCUUACGGGGAAAGAUUUAUCGCCAAAGGAUUAGCCCGCGUAGGAUUAGCUAGUUGGUGAGGUAAUGGCUCACCAAGGCUCCGAUCCUUAGCUGUUCUGAGAGGAAGAUCAGCCACACUGGGACUGAGACACGGCCCAGACUCCUACGGGAGGCAGCAGUUGGGAAUCUUGGACAAUGGGGAACCCUGAUCCAGCCAUGCCGCGUGAGUGAUGAAGGCCUUCGGGUUGUAAAACUCUUUCGACGGGGACAUAAUGACGGUACCCGUAGAAGAAGCUCCGGCUAACUUCGCGCCAGCAGCCGC